AACGAACGCUGGCGGCAGGCUUAACACAUGCAAGUCGAGCGCCCCGCAAGGGGAGCGGCAGACGGGUGAGUAACGCGUGGGAAUCUACCCAUCUCUAUGGAAUAACGCAUGGAAACGUGUGCUAAUACCGUAUACGUCCUUCGGGAGAAAGAUUUAUCGGAGAUGGAUGAGCCCGCGUUGGAUUAGCUAGUGGGUGGGGUAAAGGCCUACCAAGGCGACGAUCCAUAGCUGGUCUGAGAGGAUGAUCAGCCACACUGGGACUGAGACACGGCCCAGACUCCUACGGGAGGCAGCAGUGGGGAAUAUUGGACAAUGGGCGCAAGCCUGAUCCAGCCAUGCCGCGUGAGUGAUGAAGGCCCUAGGGUUGUAAAGCUCUUUCACCGGUGAAGAUAAUGACGGUAACCGGGAAGAAGCCCCGGCUAACUUCGUGCCAGCCGCCGCCGUAACAC
rnacentral:rRNA from 1 species